rnacentral:rRNA from 1 species
GUGAGGAAUAUUGGACAAUGGGCGCAAGCCUGAUCCAGCCAUGCCGCGUGCAGGAAGACGCAUCUAUGGUGUGUAAACUGCUUUUGUACGGGAAGAAACACUCCCUCGUGAGGGAGCUUGACGGUACCGUAAGAAUAAGGAUCGGCUAACUCCGUGCCAGCAGCCGCGGUAAUACGGAGGAUCCAAGCGUUAUCCGGAAUCCUUGGGUUUAAAGGGUCCGUAGGCGGUUUAAUUAGUCAGUGGUGAAAGCCCAUCGCUCAACGAUGGAACGGCCAUUGAUACUGUUAGACUUGAAUUACAAGGAAGUAACUAGAAUAUGUAGUGUAGCGGUGAAAUGCUUAGAUAUUACAUGGAAUACCAAUUGCGAAGGCAGGUUACUACUUGUGGAUUGACGCUGAUGGACGAAAGCGUGGGGAGCGAACAGGAUUAGAAACCCGGGUAGUCC